AAUGUAUCCAGUUAUAGAUCUGAUGAGCAUAAACAAAUGUUUUUUAAAAAGAAGAAAAGGUAAAACAAACAGACUAAUAAUAACCAAAAAACCUUUUCAGACUACAAAUGUGAAAGCUAAGAGGAAAACAAUUGACUUCUACAAGAGUACAAGCAAAAUUGUUUCGUAUUUGGUUAAAGGUGAGGAACAAGUAAAUUCAUUUCAUCCUAGAAGGAAGCUUUUGAAAUUUCUUAUAAUAACAGAUAAUAGAGCUUAAUUAUAUAAAUAUAUUCAAAUGUUUUAAAUAAAUUACAUUAUGCAUGGAUAAGUUAUUCAAGUAAACCCAAGAGUCUUGAAAUGAUAUGCCUCACCCAAAAAAGGCUAAGGUCUGGAGACUAACUAUGCUUUUUCACAAUUCCUUAGAGCUGUUAGGCAAAUCACCCCAGGAGGAUGGAGGAUGAGAAUUCUGAUCCUUAGAAGAGGAUGUCCUGCUCACUCGGUUUUACUAUAUUAUUACGCUUUUCAAAUCAAUGGGUGUCAGAUCUCUCUUCAAAAUAUUUUAGAGAAUCUCACAUAGUUAGAACUGAUAAAGAUGUUAGAAAUGAUUAAAUCUAAUUUUCACAUCUUAUAAACAAAUAACUGAAUACUGCGAUGAAUAAUGAUCUGUAAUUUGGAAAGUGUUUCUACAUCCAUAGGAAUCAGACUCAGCCUCAUGCCUGGAUGGUGAAAAGUCACAUGACCAGUAAGCCGCCAUCCACAGGGCUCCUGCAGAACAGGCACAAAACAGAAAAGGACCGUGAGAUGCUGAGACUUGGUACAGUCUAAAAGAGCUAAAAUUCCAAAAACAAAAAUGACACGAAGUAUAUACUCUGGAUCAGAGAAAAAUGAAAUAAAAAGAACGAGGUUUAUAAAAUAAGGAAGAGGAGUCUAAGCAUAGAGAAGAGAACAAUUGCUGUCAGAUUACAACACCUCAGAGUCCAAGGAGGGGGCUAAGAAGAAAAAAUACAGAGAAGAAGCCGCCACUGCUGUUUUUAUAUAGGGGUAGAAGGUAUAGAGGUUUUUCUAUUUUAUUUAUUUUUUUUUUUUUGAGACGGAGUCUCGCUGUGUCGCCCGGCUGGAGUGCAGCGGCGCGAUCGCGGCUCCCUGCAAGCUCCGCCUCCCAGGUUCAUACCAUUCUCCUGCCUCAGCCUCCUGAGUAGCUGCGACUACAGGCGCCCGCCACCACGCCCGGCCAAUUUUUUUCUAUUUUUUAGUAGAGACGGGGUUUCACCGUGUUAGCCAGGAUGGUCUCGAUCUCCUGACCUCGUGAUCCGCCCGCCUCGACCUCCCAAAGUGCUGGGAUUACAGGCGUGAGCCACCACGCCCGGCCAUAUGUUAUUAAAUGAAAAUGCCAGCUUAAAAACAAAAGUGAGGAAAGCCAAGCUGAGGUACAUCCUGCAAGUUCAACAAAAUUUAGAAACAUUUCAUCAUGUGCCUCACAUAAACCAACAGAACUUUUUUUUCUGUUACAUUGUAUAUAAAAUGAACUUUGUGUGUUUUCUUUUAAAUUCAGGC
rnacentral:lncRNA from 10 species